UCUCCGUAGGUGAACCUGCGGAGGGAUCAUUACCAAUAACCAUGCAGGCCGGAGUCCCUGGAUGCGCGCUGCUUGCGGCGUGUGUCUGGCCGGCCUGUAUGAAUAUUCACCCGUGUCUUUUGCGUACUUCUUGUUUCCUUGGUGGGUUCGCCCACCACAAGGACCCAUGUAAACCUUUUGCAAUGGCAAUCAGCGUCAGUAACAAAACAAAAUAUUAAAACUUUCAACAACGGAUCUCUUGGUUCUG
rnacentral:misc_RNA from 1 species